rnacentral:rRNA from 1 species
GUUUAACGGCCGCGGUAUCCUGACCGUGCAAAGGUAGCGUAAUCACUUGUCUUUUAAAUGGAGACCUGUAUGAAUGGCAAGACGAGGGCUAAACUGUCUCCUUUUUCCAGUCAAUGAAAUUGAUCUCCCCGUGCAGAAGCGGGGAUACCAACAUAAGACGAGAAGACCCCAUGGAGCUUUAGACACAAAGCAGCCCACACCAUAGUAUCCCCCUCAAGGGAAACAAUAUUUGUGCCCCCUGCUCUUAUGUCUUUGGUUGGGGCGACCGCGGGGAAACAAGAAACCCCCAUGUGGAACAGGAGUACUCCUCCUUAAAGCAAGAGCCACAGCUCUAGCAAGCAGUAAAACUGACCUUCAAGAUCCGGCAUACGCCGAUCAACGGACCAAGUUACCCUGGGGAUAACAGCGCAAUCCUCUUUUAGAGCCCAUAUCGACAAGAGGGUUUACGACCUCGAUUGUUGGAUCAGGACAUCCUAAUGGUGCAGCCGCUAUUAAGGGUUCG